CCUACGGGUGGCAGCAGUAGGGAAUCUUGCACAAUGGGCGAAAGCCUGAUGGAGCCAAGCCGCGUGAAGGAUGAAGGCCUUCGGGUUGUAAACUGCUUUUAUAAGAGGAAAAAAUUAAGGUAACUUAUGAAUAAGGAUCGGCUCACAUCGUGCCGGCUGCCGCGGCGCUACGUCAGGUCCGAGAAUUAUACGGAGUAACUGGGCGUGAAGAGUUGGGUAGGGGGGGUAAUAAAUAGAUGGGUGAAUCUGGUGGCGCAACCAUUCAGACUAUUAGCGAAACUGUUAAGCUCGAGACCGUUAGAGGUAACUGGAAUUUCUGGUGUAGGGGUGAAAUCCGUAGAUAUUAGGAAGAACACCGAUUGCGUAGGCAGGUUACUGGGACGGUACUGACACUGAGGCACGAAAGCGUGGGGAGCAAACAGGAUUAGAUACCCGAGUAGUC
rnacentral:rRNA from 1 species